UGCAGAUGGCAGUUAAAAACGUAUGUUGCCAUGGGCACUGCGGAAAACCCCAAACCAAAUAUGGCUACUUGAUUUAGAGUUGGGAUAUGAGAUUUUUCAGGGAAAUCUCAUGGUUCAGUGAUAGGCUAUGCCUGGGUGAUGAACCUAGUCCCGAGGAAUCAAUAAGAGAGGUGACUGAGGAAGUGACACUUUGACUGAACCUUAAAAUGCAGAGGGAAAGAAAAAAGAACAGAGAUAGAGAGACAGAAAGACAAGGGGUUUCCUACCAGGUGCAAACUUUUUGCGGCAGAAUGAGGCUUGGAAAUUUUGAAGAACUGAAAGCCUGCGUCUUUGGUUAAGUGACGUGGAAAGAAGAUAGACAAUGGAAAUGAGAGGCUAUCGGUUUAUUCUGUGCUAAGAAAAAUAAUGUUUGAUCAAGAAAGACCUCUUUAGAAAUCUCUGAUAGGAGCAGAUGACCCAGAUGUCUGAGUUCUACAUCAAGAACAACUUCAAGACUACUGGCUGAAAUGAUCAAGACUUGCAGGAUACUCCAGUCAUGACUUGAUCAUAAUUAUAAAUUUUCUUUAGGUCCCCAUAAGAUUAUCUGCAUCCCAAUUCUGCAGGAACUAGUCUAGGAAACUAUGACCAGAUUCCAAAAAAAUGGACUAUGGAUAUUUUUCUUUGUUUAAAAUGUUGGUUACAUGUUGUUAUGGAUAAUGGUUAGGAAAAAAGCUAAACAAAGGAUAUUA